rnacentral:misc_RNA from 1 species
GAUGAAGAACGUAGCGAAAUGUGAUAAGUAAUGUGAAUUGCAGAAUUCAGUGAAUCAUCGAAUCUUUGAACGCACCUUGCGCCUUUUGGUAUUCCGAAAGGCACACCUGUUUGAGCGUCAUGAAUACCUCAAUCUCCAUCUUUUCUUCGGAUUGAUGGGUGACUUGGAUGUUGAGCCCUGCUGGUAUGCUAUAUCAGCUGGCUUUAAACUUAUUAGCCGGCUCUGUACUGGAUCGGUUUGACUCGACGUGAUAAUAUUAUCGUUGAGGAUGCAUGUCUCAUGCAGCCGGAAAGUAUCAAAGCAGCUUCUAGCUUGCCUUUAGUGCACUUUUACAUUUUAGACCUCAGAUCAGGUGGGACUACCCGCUGAACUUAAGCAUAUCAAUAAGCGGAGGA